rnacentral:SRP_RNA from 1 species
CUUAGGGCAAUGAUGCUCUUGUGAAUUGUGUCAGAUCCGGAAGGAAGCAGCACUAAGCAGGGUGUGUCAUGUGCCUUUUGUUA